UCGAAUAUGAAUCAUCUUAAUAAUUAAUAUUUAUGUAGAUAUGGUAGGUACUUCUACUUAUUAACAAAAUAAUUAUGACGACACUAUUGUUUUAUCUUUUUUUCGAAGAAGACUGAUAAAAAAAAAAGUGCAACAAGAAAUGCGGAUAUAAAAUGCAACUUUAGUCUGGUAUAAUCUCAUAUAUUCGUUUAUUUGCUAGUACGUUGGUGUUUUGUGGUAAGAAGAUCAAAUUGUGCUGCUGGGAGUUUUGUGCCUCCUGUUUACUGCAUCUCGAAACAAUCAGGAUAACUAUACAAAAUUCAGACGUAACACAACAACCAGUCAAGGAAAGUACAUACUUGCCAAGCUGAAAGACAUGCAUUCCAAAUCAAAUCUUCAUUUCACCAUUUUUAUGGCACUACUGAGCGUCUCAGUUCACGGAUUCCAUGUGGAUAAUUCUGAUACGCAUUCCACAAGUGAAUCAAUGAGGUCUAUUGCUGUUCCUAAAAACGCAUCUGACACCCUAUCGGAAUCUUCCCUCGAGUUGAUGAAAGAAGUAAUGGCUGUACAAGUUCAAUUAGCAGUCCAGAUGAGAGAGAUGGAAGAACGGAACGUUGAAUUGCGCCUGAAAGAAAAAGAGGCUGAAAAACGAGAGGAUGGAAUAAAAAAGUUGCAGGAGCAACUCGAGCAAAAGGAAGAAUACAUCAAUAAAACAGCAGCGGAACAACGAAAUAAAGAAGAAAAUAUUACAAAAUGUGAAACCGAAUUCAAAAAAAUAGAAAACAUAUUGAAGAAACGAGAAGAACAAUGGAAGCAAAAAGAAAAUACAACCUGUUCUGUGUCUUGGGUUCGUGCAUCUACUGGUAGAGUGCCUGCAAAUGCGAUUGUGGGAGGACGCGACGUAAAUAAUGAUUUGUACUAUGUUGGACGAGCAAACCAUAGCAAAUCCCUUAUUCCUGGAAAAAUAAGUAUCAAAUAUGGCUUAUGUGUUGCCGAUUAUGGCAACGAACAUUGUUAUGGCAAUUUUGAAGUCGCUGUAUUAGAUAAGCUAAAUCCCAAUGAAUAAUGAUAGUUCUUCUCGGAGAAUACCUACAAAUUCUAGGAGGAUAUAACGACGAAAGAAAUAAUUUUUGUAAGAUUAUUUUAAUGUUACUCGUAUGUUCAUCCGGUUUGCAUAUUAAAAGAAAUAGAUAAUAAAUAAAAUUAAAUCAAAAGUCUAAAAGCUUA